rnacentral:tRNA from 1 species
GCGGGUAUGGCCGAUUGGCAAGGCAUCUGGCUUCCACCCAGAACAUGCGGGUUCGAUUCCCGCUGCUCGCU